AAAUCAAAAACAUGGCCUUUUGUUAUUAUUUAAGGUCUAGCCUGCCCAAUGAGUCAUUGAAUGGCCGCGGUAUUUUGACCGUGCUAAGGUAGCAUAAUCAUUAGUUUUUUAAUUGAAAGCUGGCAUGAAAGGUUGAAUGAGAAAAAAACUGUCUCUUAAGAAUUUUAUUAGAAUUUUAUUUUUAAGUAAAAAAGCUUAAAUAAAGUUUAAAGACGAGAAGACCCUUUAGAGUUUCAUACAAAUAUAAAAUUGAUAUUUUUAGUAUUAAUUAUUUCAAUUUUAUAUUUGUAUUUGAUUGGGGUGAUUGAAAAAUUUAGUUAACUUUUUUUAUUUGAACCAUUGAUUUAUGAUUAAUUGAUCCAUAUAUAAUGAUUACAAGAAUAAAUUACCUAAGGGAUAACAGCGUUAUUUUUUUUGAGAGUUCUUAUCGAAAAAAAAGAUUGCGACCUCGAUGUUGGAUUAAAAUUAAAUUAUGAUGUAGCAGUCAUAACUUUAGGUCUGUUCGACCUUUAAAAUUUUACAUG
rnacentral:rRNA from 1 species